rnacentral:rRNA from 1 species
UACAGAGGUCCCAAGCGUUGUUCGGAUUCACUGGGCGUAAAGGGUGCGUAGGCGGUCGGGUAAGUCUGACGUGAAAUCUCCAAGCUCAACUUGGAAAUGGCGUCGGAUACUAUUCGGCUUGAGGAAUGGAGGGGAGACUGGAAUUCUCGGUGUAGCAGUGAAAUGCGUAGAUAUCGAGAGGAACACCAGUGGCGAAGGCGAGUCUCUGGACAUUUCCUAACGCUGAGGCACGAAAGCCAGGGGAGCAAACGGG